GAAAUAUGACUUUAUUACCCUAAUUUACAAUUCGUUGAGGAUGUUAUUUUGUGGAUGAGAGGUAACCACUAAUUCCACGAAAUUUGAGCCACCACGAAAUCUAUUGAUUCCACAGUAUGUACAUGUAUUGAACUUGUUCUUAUCUUUACAAUUGUCAAAUUCAACUAUGUGUGUACCCUGUUUGCUAAACUAGAUCCUUUUACAAUCAGUGUAAAUUCCCAAUACAGUUAUAAAUUGUAUGUACUAUUCAUAGGAAAGAAAUGAAUACCUAUACACUGUACUAUUGAUGUAACAAACCCUUUUACACUGUAGAUUUCGGUUUUUAGGCUCUCCUAUUGCUGCUGCAUUGUAGAACAGCAUGGUCCUCUCCCAGACAGAUACCCUAAUUACCCACUGUACUCCCUUGUUAAAUUGUUAUCUAUUUGUUAUAAUAUUACCAAUGAAUAAAUUAUU
rnacentral:sRNA from 1 species